rnacentral:snRNA from 1 species
UACGCGACGGGGUAUUGUA